GCCAGAGGUGGAGGCACGCACCUGUAGUCCCAGCUACUUGGGAGGCUGAGGCAAGAGGAUCACUUGAGUCCAGGCUAUAGUGUGCUAUGCUGAUUAAGUGUCACCAUCAGAACAGUGACUUCCUAGAAGUGGGGGACCACCAGGUUGCCUAAGGAGGGGUGACCUGGCCCAGGUUGGAAACAGAGGUUGAAACUCCCGUGCUGAUCAGUAGGGGACUGUGCCUGUGAAUAACCACUGCACUCCAGCCUGGGCAACAUAACAAGAGCCCUUCUCUG
rnacentral:SRP_RNA from 1 species